rnacentral:lncRNA from 1 species
UACUGAGACUAAGGUAGAAAAAGACACUUCCAAAGGGUGUCAAUGACAAGAGAGAAAUAGACAUAGAGUGGUCACUUCAUUUACCAACCCUGGAACCGCAGACCUCUGGGCUUCCUGGGCUCUAGGAAUGCAGUGCAAGACAGGCAAGGUUCUUGCUCAUACAGAGCUUCUAGAAACCUGGGAUACAGAGAUGCAAUCAAGUGAUAAAACACAUGGAUGAAGGCUCUGCCAUUGAACACAUGGUUCUUGACAAGCCCACAGAGAGGCACAGCUAAGCCAGCCCUGGGGAGCCAGGGAGGGUUCCCUGGAGGGAGAGAAGCUGGAUCCAGGUCUGAAAGAUGACUUGAAGUCAGCCAUGAGCAAGGAAGAGAUUUUCCAGGCCAAGCGAACAGCCUGAUAAAGAAAAUGGGUACGGCCAAGACCAUAGACCUAGUGAUUGUCAGAUGAACAAUUAGACCCACAGAACCAUCCAAGCUACAGAGGACGCAUUCUGCCUUCCCUUGGAUCCUGUGGUUUGAGGAUGGAGGUCUAGGACCGUGGCAGGCUUUUUGUCCCAUGAGGGAAGGCCAUGGAGCUGAGGAAGG